GUCAGCGUAGUGUAGUGGUUAUCACAUCUGCUUUACACGCAGAAGGUCGCCGGUUCGAUCCCGGCCGUUGAUA
rfam:Albugo candida, Ac Nc2, WGS project CAIX01000000 data, contig: AcNc2_CONTIG_234_length_40574